GACAGAGGGUGCAAGCGUUGUUCGGAUUUACUGGGCGUAAAGCGCGUGUAGGCGGCUUGGCAAGUCGGAUGUGAAAGCCCACGGCUCAACCGUGGAAGCGCACCCGAAACGGCCUCGCUCGAGUCUCGGAGAGGAAGGUGGAAUGCUUGGUGUAGAGGUGAAAUUCGUAGAUAUCAAGCAGAACACCUGCGGCGAAGGCGGCCUUCUGGACGAUGACUGACGCUGAGACGCGAAAGCGUGGGGAGCAAACAGG
rnacentral:rRNA from 1 species